rnacentral:tmRNA from 1 species
GGGGGUGACAGGUCUCGACUCGGGUAGUUGAGAGAUUCGCCGCAUGCCGAGGCAGUCGGGUGGCCUCGUAAAAACCCGGCAAAAAACAAAUGCUAAGAACAGUAAUGUUCCAGCAACAGUGGAUGGGCUUCUUGCAAAGAUAGGGAUUGGCAUUGUCAAUCCCAUUCUGGGCAACGGGGUUCUUCCGCUGGCCAGCCCGGUUAUUAUAUAACCGGCCGUCAGCCGGUCCUGCCUGUGGGAUCGGAUCGACGUAAUCAGCAGGCUGGCUCGAUACCUUAUCUUUUGGGCGUUGGGCGAGAACGUAAAAAGAUAGCUGGUUAGGCAUCCUGUCUAUCGGAGGCUUGAUCGGUGAACAUAAGUAGAUAGGCUACGCAUGUAGAAGCAUUCUUUACGGUACUCGAGGACGCGAGUUCGAUUCUCGCCACCUCCACCA